UACGUAGGGGGCAAGCGUUGUCCGGAUUUAUUGGGCGUAAAGCGCGUGUAGGCGGUUGGGUAGGUCCGCUGUGAAAACUCGAGGCUCAACCUCGAGACGUCGGCGGAAACCAUCCAGCUAGAGUCCGGAAGAGGAGAGUGGAAUUCCUGGUGUAGCGGUGAAAUGCGCAGAUAUCAGGAAGAACACCCGUGGCGAAAGCGGCUCUCUGGGACGGUACUGACGCUGAGACGCGAAAGCGUGGGGAGCGAACAGG
rnacentral:rRNA from 1 species